rnacentral:rRNA from 1 species
UGGGGAAUAUUGGACAAUGGGCGCAAGCCUGAUCCAGCCAUGCCGCGUGAGUGACGAAGGCCUUAGGGUUGUAAAGCUCUUUUGGCGGGGAAGAUAAUGACGGUACCCGCAGAAUAAGCUCCGGCUAACUUCGUGCCAGCAGCCGCGGUAAUACGAAGGGAGCUAGCGUUGUUCGGAAUCACUGGGCGUAAAGCGCACGUAGGUGGGCAGUUAAGUCAGGGGUGAAAGCCCGAGGCUCAACCUCUGAAUUGCCUCUGAUACUGGCUGUCUAGAGUUCGAGAGAGGUGAGUGGAAUUCCUAGUGUAGAGGUGAAAUUCGUAGAUAUUAGGAAGAACACCGGUGGCGAAGGCGGCUCACUGGCUCGAUACUGACACUGAGGUGCGAAAGCGUGGGGAGCAAACAGGAUUAGAUACCCCUGUAGUCCCUGAGCGGGCUGGCAAGGCGCAU